GAUGAACGCUAGCUACAGGCUUAACACAUGCAAGUCGAGGGGAAACGACAUCGAAAGCUUGCUUUUGAUGGGCGUCGACCGGCGCACGGGUGAGUAACGCGUAUCCAACCUGCCCAUCACUUGGGAAUAACCUUGCGAAAGUAAGACUAAUACCCAAUGAUAUCCCACGAAGGCAUCGGAAUGGGAUUAAAGAUUUAUCGGUGAUGGAUGGGGAUGCGUCUGAUUAGCUUGUUGGCGGGGUAACGGCCCACCAAGGCAACGAUCAGUAGGGGUUCUGAGAGGAAGGUCCCCCACAUUGGAACUGAGACACGGUCCAAACUCCUACGGGAGGCAGCAGUGAGGAAUAUUGGUCAAUGGGCGAGAGCCUGAACCAGCCAAGUAGCGUGCAGGAAGACGGCCCUAUGGGUUGUAAACUGAUUUUAUAAGGGAAUAAAGUGGGUCACGUGUGACUUUUUGCAUGUACCUUAUGAAUAAGGACCGGCUAAUUCCGUG
rnacentral:rRNA from 1 species